AUUCAAGAUGGCCGGAGGAGGAGAGGGACGAUAAGACGGUGAUGAGUGUCGAAUGAAUCAGUCGGCGCUUCUUCUUUUAUGCGUCGAACACGAUCGGCGUGCAGCUUUUACUUUCGCCGCGGAUAAAACACGACCACGGUACCGGGAAUAAAGGGACACAAUGGAACGAGAUUACACCUCCGUGACUUCGCCGCUGAUCGCCGACUUACGGAUUCCCAUGGCGUGCCAGUCGCCCGGCGUUCACGUAUCUUCCGAGUUUUCGAGUGUACCAGUGGAACACGAAUGAUCGAGGAAAGGCGUUUUUGUUGCUCGCAGCGUUUUCAAACAAAGGGCGGUUUCCGGUAGUUUCAUGGUUCCCGGAGGCGUAGCAAUUGCACUGGAGUCUCGCGUGCAACUUAGAGGCUCGAGUUUCGUGCCCGUUGGCUAUCAAAAGUAUCUCGAGUACUUCGUGUAUCUUUUUAUUCAUAAUAGAUACAAUGAUGCUACGCUGGCAAUCCUGAUUCAGAACCUAAUCUCGCAAGGACCUAAAUCUGGAACUGUUUGCUUCCUAAUGAUACUCCCAUGAUGACCUUCCUCUUUCUCACAAAAUACUCGUCGAGCAAAGGUUGGCCUCUACUUAUCGAUUAAGCAUCCAUUUUCUGUCGGUGCGAGCGUAUAUGGUGGGAUUUUAUACGUGCAUGCACGAGGAAUGACGCAAGAAAGAGAAAAACGGAAAUCGACGUACCCGUUGCUUCUAUAAAGGUACGCGACGUCAAUUUUUCUCCAACGAAUUCUACCUUAACGAUGUUAAUUAUGCGAUAUCGCAUUCCCUGAAAUGGUAACUCGUUUUAUUCGUCGAAUUUUCAUGUUUUGUCGAUUCAAGAAAAUU